CUUGCUUCUUGGUCAUGAUGUUUGUGCAGGAAUAGAAUCCCUGACUAAGACAGCAGUGUAGGAUGAGGAGGAUACAGAAAGAAAGCAAAUUUGGGUCUAUCUGGGCCAGCAGUCUAGGAUUAACAGAGUUUGAAUCCUAGCUCAAACACUCAGUAAUUUGAUUCAUUCAGACAUACUUGUUGAAUGUAUACAACACACCCGUUUCUUAUUGUAAGCUCUAGUCCACUUUGGCAAAUAAACUCUGAGAGGUACAUGCUGUCAUUCUCUCUUUAGAAGGGGGGGGGGGGUUGGGCGAUCAACCAUCAGAGAGGGAAACCGUGGGUGCAGUGGAACAAGAUGGGGAGAGGAACUCGUCCGGUCUGCGUUUGCCUGACCAAUGAGAAAAGGCCUAAAGGCAGGAGUGGCUCUGUUCCUAGAGCAGAAGGAAGCUUUGCAGCUGGACUGUGGUGAACAAAGAAGAGAGUAAUACAAAAUGAGUCAGCUGCUGACUGGUACCAGCUCAAGUGGGGCUCAUUGAUUAGGGUAAAUGCCUUGAUUUUUAUUCAAAAUACGUUUGGAAGCUCUUGAGAGAUUUUUAAGUAGGAUUUUUAAGUCACAUGAUCUGACUUCCUUUUUUUUCAGCUUUUUCUUUUUUUUUUUUGUUUUAAUAGCCCUUUUAUCCCAUUUGUUUUGUAAAAUUUGAUGUCGAAAACGGAAGUUGAAUUAGUUAUGCCACACUACAUUUUUGUUGGUAAAACUAAAAAUUUGAAAUAAUAUUGAUGUUUUCUAGUAAUGUUGGAAUUGACAGUAUCUGCCCCAUUAGACCCAGUGUGUCUUGAAGAAAGAUUAGAAGUCAUGCUGGUGUUUGUAUCCUCAGCUUGUAACCUGGGAACCGGCACUCAUCAGGAGACUGGGCUCCUAGGAGCUCUUUUGACCCCGCUGUAGUCGCUCUCUGCCUUUCUCGGAGCCACUGACUAGGUGCAUUGUGGCCUCACUGCUCAGUGCCCUGAAAGAUUGGACCCGUUCCGCCUCUCUCGGAUCCCAGCGCCCAGAAGACAGAAGACAGAAGACAGUAGCUGACAGACAGGUGAUUCAGCGUGACCGUGUUAAAAAUGAAAAUCUUAUCUCCCAAAAAAGAAAGCAAAAGUUUUGCUGAAUAGUCAAACAGUCCGUCUUUAUGAAUGGUAGCCAUAUCUAACUCCACAACUACAUGUCUAGACAGAAACUUGAGAAUCAGAUUUAACACUUUUUUUUUUCGACUCCCUGUGAAUACCAGGAUGGCCAACUAUCCUUUCUACAUAGCUUUUGAAUCCACAGUAUAUUCUCUGUCCUCAGGAUCUCUGUCCUGGGCUGGGCCUUUCAUAUUUCUCUCCUGAAGUACAGCUGCCUUUUGCUUUGCUUUUCUAGCUGUCCUUCUCUAACCCAGGUCCUACAUGCUAACCUUACCCUGAUUUCUAAAUGAAGGAUGCUUCAGUUCAGUAACUUCAUACCGUCCUUAAGCAUUGGGUCCAGGCUGCUACAUUCUGCACAUUCCACAGCAACAGCUUCCCAUGGACCUGGUAAACAGUGCCGCUCUCCACUCCUGAUCUGGCUCUCAGGAGUCUUAAUUCCUUUUUUAGUAUCAUGUGCAGCCCUUGAACUCUGGUUCCCUUACCUCUUACCACCUUCCUCUUGCCUUUUCUUUUUGACCUUCAACUCUCUCUUUAAAGGACUCUUUUUUAGACCUGCCUUACUCUCUAGACCGGAUGGGCACUUUGGGGGGGGGGGGGGGGUGUCUCAGGGUUGUUUGGGCCUGAAGCGCCACUCUUCAUUGCUAUCAUGUAUCUAAUUGUUGCAACACUUGCUUUGUCCUGAGCCAGGCUUGAUGCUGCAGUUUGCCUCCCAUUAUACAACCGUCUUUCCUUUCUUACUAAGAAGGUAGUUUUUGCUGGCACCAUGCCACAGGGUUAGUGACUGCCCUGUGUUUCUGUUGGGAAAAGCAGUACUCUCUUGCCUCUUAUUUUUCCUGGGCUAGAGCAGUGUGAAGCUUCAGCUACCUUUUUACUCGCUGGAGGGUGAGAUGGCACUUUGAAAGAGCAGAUGAGAAGCCCUUAAGAUGCAGAUUUGCAUUAUUUAUAUCCUGACACUUGUCUUCCAUCAUUUUUUAUGAGAGAAAAAUUAAUUGCCUUAUUACUGUUCUUUACUUUGUUGUAAACAUUUUCCUUGUAACAUAGCAUUUCUAUUUCUUUCCAGGCCUUUUCCUGUUUGUAUUCCUGUUCCCUAUGUUUUACCAAAGAGUAGAGCCCAUCUUCCUUAAAGUUUCUCUCUCAGACGGUCACAUCUAGUGCUUAAUGAUGGCAGACAUGGCUUUUUGAUGAUGAUGAUGAUGCUGUUGUUGUUACUAUAUUUAUUUAUUUUGUGGGGCACACAAAUGCCACAUUGUACAUGUGGAGGUCAGAGGACAAUUUGCAGUAGGAGUUGGUUCUCUUAGUCACAUGGGUACUGGGAAUUGAAUUCACAAUGCCAGGCUUAUUGGCAAGUGCCCAUUGAAUCAUCUGGCCAGCCAGAUAAUAUUUUAUUAGAUCAGUUCUGUGGCAUUUUUGAUAGUUCUCUUAUUACAUAGUGUUGGGACCUGUAUCUUCAAGAUUUACACAAUGCUAUCAGUCAUCCAACCUUCCCUUUAAAAAAUUAAAUCACGGUUUCUAUUGCAUGCUCUUAUUGUCUACUGCUGUGUGUGGCCUUCCCUGGCAGGUUGUAAACGCUGUGAGGACCAUUGUGUCUGAGUAUUUUCUCCACACUGUGUAGGAUUUCAGUGGAUCCUAGCUCAAUGCUACACAUUAAGAAGCUGCUCAGCCUUUUUCUUUCUUUAAUAAAUGACAGACCUGAGUCUCCAACCUCCGCUUUCUCACCUAUCCCUGCAUCGUGUGUAUGCCUUCACCGUCAACCCAAGGUGCUGCUGGCAAGACCACUGGGGGUGUUCUGCUUGCUACACUCAGUAUAUUCUUUCCAUUUUGUGCCUUGACUAAUUUCUUAAAAAAAAAAAAA